rnacentral:rRNA from 1 species
AACGAACGCUGGCGGCAGGCCUAACACAUGCAAGUCGAGCGAGGACUUCGGUCCUAGCGGCGGACGGGUGAGUAACGCGUGGGAACGUGCCCUUUGCUUCGGAAUAGCCCUGGGAAACUGGGAGUAAUACCGGAUGAGCCCUUUGGGGGAAAGAUUUAUCGGCGAAGGAUCGGCCCGCGUUGGAUUAGGUAGUUGGUGGGGUAAUGGCCUACCAAGCCGACGAUCCAUAGCUGGUUUGAGAGGAUGAUCAGCCACACUGGGACUGAGACACGGCCCAGACUCCUACGGGAGGGAGCAGUGGGGAAUCUUAGACAAUGGGGGAAACCCUGAUCUAGCCAUGCCGCGUGAGAGAUGAAGGCCUUAGGGUUGUAAAGCUCUUUCAGCUGGGAAGAUAAUGACGGUACCAGCAGAAGAAGCCCCGGCUAACUCCGUG